rnacentral:rRNA from 1 species
AGAGUUUGAUCCUGGCUCAGGACGAACGCUGGCGGCGUGCUUAACACAUGCAAGUCGAACGAGAAGAGAUGAGAAGCUUGCUUCUUAUCGAUUCGAGUGGCAAACGGGUGAGUAACGCGUAAGCAACCUGCCCUCUAGAUGGGGACAACAGCUGGAAACGGCUGCUAAUACCGAAUACGUUCUUUCUGUCGCAUGGCAGAAGGAAGAAAGGGAGGCUCUUCGGAGCUUUCGCUGGAGGAGGGGCUUGCGUCUGAUUAGCUAGUUGGAGGGGUAACGGCCCACCAAGGCGACGAUCAGUAGCCGGUCUGAGAGGAUGAACGGCCACAUUGGGACUGAGACACGGCCCAGACUCCUACGGGAGGCAGCAGUGGGGAAUCUUCCGCAAUGGACGAAAGUCUGACGGAGCAACGCCGCGUGAACGAUGACGGCCUUCGGGUUGUAAAGUUCUGUUAUACGGGACGAAUGGUACGACGGUCAAUACCCGUCGUAAGUGACGGUACCGUAAGAGAAAGCCACGGCUAACUACGUGCCAGCAGCCGCGGUAAUACGUAGGUGGCAAGCGUUGUCCGGAAUUAUUGGGCGUAAAGGGCGCGCANGCGGCGUCGUAAGUCGGUCUUAAAAGUGCGGGGCUUAACCCCGUGAGGGGACCGAAACUGCGAUGCUAGAGUAUCGGAGAGGAAAGCGGAAUUCCUAGUGUAGCGGUGAAAUGCGUAGAUAUAGGAGGAACACCAGUGGCGAA